AUAAUUUUUUUUGCUUUUUUUAAGUUCAAUAGUUAUUUUUUAGAAACUACUCAACUCAUGCUUCUCAACUUCUACUUCUACCUAUUACUCAAUCAUAAAAGCAAAAUAACAAAAUAUCUCGUACUUGUUUGACCUAAUUAUAAAUAUACCUUCAUAAAUAACAAACCAAUUCGACUCUCUUUAUUUUUUGAUCAUUCUCUCUCUUAUCCAUCUCCGUACUGAAGACCUACCCUACACUAAAGCCACUAUUCCUUUAUCUGCCAUUGUAUCCGACCGUCAAUUAGCCACCGAUCACCGUUUAAUAAUUUUAUUUUAUUUUUGUUAAAUUUUUAUGAGCAUAUAGUGUUUUUUUGCUUGGUAAUGUAACUGUUUUUUUGAGCAACUUCUAACUACAAAAAUAUACAUUUUGAAUGUUUUCAAUUACGUUUUUUUUUAACAUAAAUGAACUUUUUAAGCUAUUUUUAGGGCCAUUUUUGAAGUUACUAAACUCAUGCUUUUUAGUUUUUGUUUCUAUCUAUUACUCAAUUAUAAAAGCAAAAUGACAAAAUACUUCAUACUUAAUUAACCAACUAGUUUUUCAAUUGGAGAUUAUAUGCCGAACUAGUUUUUUAAUUAACAAAUAUUCUUGGAUCAUGAAGAUGGUGAAAGAUUGCAUUGCCGUUUUGAUUAAGAAUAUGGAACGUUUGAAAACCUUGGUAAGUAUUUUGUUAAAAGCACAAUGUCAUACCCUGCAGUUUUUUCAGGCAACUAGUUAAUGCGGUCGAAGUAUACAAACAUUUGGUUUAAAUUGUAAUGGUUAAAAAAUAUGAGAUCUAAUUUAUUUAAAUUGAAAAUAUGAGUUAAUUUUGUCACUAAAUUUAAACCUUGGGUUUAAUAUGUAAUUUCGUAAUCAAAGACACUUGCACAAAUUAUAUAGGCAGCGGAAGAAAUGCUAAUUUUAAUUUCAAACAAACCUUCCCAAUCUUUUUUUCCUAAUUCCAUUAAAUGUUGGUUGGAGUUAAAUUUUGCUGGAACCUGUAAAUUCACCUAAUGUAUAGGGAAAUGUGACGCCGUCUCAACAAUUGAGGUGCUUUCCCUGUGGCUACUUAGUUGGAGGUCUAAGCUUUUUGUGCUUGGAUUCUCCUAGACUAUGCCUUGAUGCUCUCUCUCUUUUUUCCCCCUUUUCUCCGGGCAAUUGAGGUGUAAUUUUGAUUAAUCGGUGAAAAUAAUUUACUAAAGAUAAAUAAAAGGUGAAAAGCAAAAUAGAUAAAAAAAAAUUAUCCCAAAUAGAAAGAAAAAUGAUUUUCAUACGUUCAUUUUCUUUAAUUGUAUUUUUCUUAUGUUUAUUGAAAUUAAAUUAUGCAAUUAUCGUAAUAAAAAUAUUUGAGUAAAAAUAAAUAUUUAAAUAAAUUUAUCAUAAUAAGGACAACAAAAUCUAUAAUAUAUGACACAAGUAUUUUUGAAUCUUUCAAAUUAUCUCUCACUAUUUACGGAUGAGAUCUAUUUGAGUUAAUACAAUGUCUGAAAUUUCACCUGAGACUAUUUUUUCUCCAAAAAAAAUAUCACUUCUUUUUUUCUCAAAGGUGUGUGUGGCCCACGUAGGUUGUAAAAAUCACAUGGUCAAACUAGCAACACUUUUUCAAAAUCAUUAUAUUUUUUAAUUUAUUCUUUAUUUUGUAGUAAUCUAUCUCUUAUAUGACGUUUAUAUCUUAUAUGUUUUUUAGGUUAUACAAAUUUUAAUGCACACGGAUGCGAUUUUUUUUUUUUUUACAUAAUGUCCGUGUGCACGGAUAAUUACUAACAGCUUAAUAUGAUCAAUUUAAUUGGUUUAGUAUUUUUCUUACAUCCCUAGGACUUGGGUUUGAUCGGAGAUUAUAUGCCGAAUAAAUUUUUUAAUUAGUAAAUAUUUUUGAACCAUAGAGAUGGCGGAAGAUUGUGUUGCCGUUUUGAUUAAGAAUAUAGGACUUCUGAAAAACCAUGGUAAGAAUAUAUCCUGCAGUUUUUUCAGCCAGUUAGUUAAUGCGGUUUCAGCCAGUUAGUUAAUGGGGUCAAAUGAUACAAUCAUUUGGUUUGAAUCGUAAUGGUUAAAAAAUAUGAGAUUUAAUUUCUUAAAUUGAAAAUAUAAAGUUAAUUUUGUCACCAAGUUUAAACUUUGGGGUUUAAUUUGUAAUUUCUCAAAAAAAAAGCAUUAAAAGUUAGAACUCAAAUCCAAUACCAAUCGGAGGCCGAUUCACUUUUGGGUUCUCUCUUGGCAAUUGCGAACUGCGAAGGCGACGUGAUUCUAGGGUUUGCGACGAGAAGAAGAUGAAAUCGGGAGCGACGAUCUGUGUGGAUGCUGAGCCCUAUUUGAGGGUGAAGGAGGAAGUGGAGGAAAAACAUGGCCUUCAAAUUGUUGGCGAAGGCGACGAGUAUUGCCUGAAGCAAAGCGACGAAAUAAGUGGAAUCGUAACGACGACCUUUUUGGGAUCCUGGAUGAUGUGGCUAAGCCCCUUUCGAGAGUGAAGGAGGAAGUGGAGGAAAAUCACGGCCUUCGAAUUGGGGGCGAUGCUAUGUUUUAUGCUCAUAUUCUUAUCGGAGGAAAGUUUGGAGAAUGUCAAAUUGGUAACUGUUAAUUCUCUCGUCUAUUACAUCUGUUGCUAUCCGUAUGUAAUCAAAUUUUGUUGUUGCUGCUGCUGCUGUUGUUAAAUCUCGUCUUUUCAUAAUUUCGGUUGAUUUUGGAGCUAUUCGUAGCCAUGGAUGGACGCAGACCUUGGGGCGGAUGGACAUACAUGGACGAAAAACUUGUGUCGAUUGCCUGAACAAAUUAUAUCAAUCUAGUAGAGUGCUAUUUUGUACAUCCACCUGGGUGAAUAUUACCCCAUUUAGAAUAGUAGACCCCGCAAUUUAGCCAUCACAGAUAGGAUAUUGAUGUGGGUGAACAAAAUAGCACUCACAUAAUUAAACUGAAACAUUAGAAGAAGAGGAAGAAUGAGAAGCUAAAAAACCUUUAGCUUGGUGGAUAUGACAAUGAAAAAGAUCUCCCCUGACAUGAGAUUCUUUCGUCAUUUGGCAUAAUUUUCUAAUAGAAAAGUUUAUCUGUUGGCCGAGUUUUUUUUCUAUCUGUGAAGACUGGCAGAACACGCUAUGGCCCGAUAUUUUCGUCAGGUGUUUAUCUGGGAUUUUCCUACCUUUGGAGAUUGGAUGCCUCCGUGCAUUCGCUUUGCACGGCAGAUUAGUUUUGUCAUUUCUAGCCCAAACCCACAAUUUAGAAGGUCGCCUUCUUUAUAAAAAAAUUGUCAAAGGGAAACAUAUGUAUCAUUUUUUGUUAGGCUUGAACAAAAAUCUCGAUGAAUUAGAGGACGACUUAUGGGCUUAAAAACCUCUGCCGCACCUCAGAGAGGCAUUUUAUGAACUCCGUCGUGAAAAAUUCGAAAAAAGCUCGUGAUGGGACCCCAUCAACAACUGAAAUAGGCAAGAAAGCUCUGUUUUUAAAACUCAUAUUCACUCCUUCUAAAACCGUCAAAAAUAAAGGAGGAAGGCCUUGGUGUGAUCAGUGUGGAAAGCCAGGUCACUCAAUAGAAACUUUCCAGAAUAUUCAUGAAAAAACAGCAGAUUGGAAGCCAUAUCAACUACUUGAGAAAGAAAGAUGUCCUUUUAUGUCAGCGUAGUCACAAACUGGUUCGUCUUCAAACAAUGUCAUUGAUUCCGGAACCUUGGCUCACAAAGGUAAUUCUUUAAGUGCCUUUAUUAUUGGUAAGAAAUUUAAAAAAUUUUGGAUCAUGGACUCGAGAGCAUCUGAUCAUAUGAGGGGAGAUAUAACAAUUUUUUAUAUAUAUAGCUUAUGUCCAAAUAAUCUAACGGUCCGAAUAGCGAAGGUUACCGAUAUAGGUUCAGUUGUGCUAUCACAGGAUCUUAAUCUCAACUCUGUUCUUCUUGUUCCUAACUUGGACUAUAAUCUAUUGUCAAUUAGUAAACUUACUAAAGAAAGGAGGCAUGUUACUAAUUUUUUCUCCAUUCACUAUGAAUUUUAGGAUUUGGAUUCGAGGAAGACGAUUGGCAAUGCUGAGGAAUACUCCAGACUCUCCAUCCUUAAGGAUCGCAACUAUCCACAAGAACAAUCUCAAACGACAUUUAGUGGUAUUCUUUGUUUUUAUUUGUGUCAAAAUAACGAUAGUGCAAUCAUGUUUGGCACUAUCAGUUAGGCCUCCUAAUGUUAUGCAUCUCACGCUUUAUUUUCUUCAUUAUUAUUCCUCCCCAAUCCCACCUCCUUUUUCUUUUUCCCUCUUUCCCUUCUCCCCUCCCCGACCCCCUCCGUUUCUUUCUUCAUUUUUCAUUCACCCCCUAUAAAGCUCUAAUCUUCUCAAUGAUUCCAUAGCGAUAUAUGGGGCUGUCCAGAUAAAAAAUUUAACUGGUUCUAUGUGGUUUUGGUCUCCUUAAUAUAUUAUCACACUAGAUUAACCUGGGCAUUCCUCAUGAAAGAAAUUUUGAAACGGGUUCAAAUCUUCAAAAAAUUUAAAAAUAUGAUUUAACUCAAUUUUAGUCAAAAAUACAAAUUCUAAAGCUAAUAACGCUAAUGAUUAUUUCAACUCUAUUCUAAGUUCAUUUCUAGAAAAAAAAAAAAAAAAAUAAAAGAGAGGAUAAUUCACUCCAAGUUUCCAUGUGUAGAUACACCAUAACAAAACGGAAUCGCUGGAAAAAAAAUAGGCAUUUGUCAAGGUGCGAGAUCGUAAUGUGUUUUUUUUUCUCCACAAAUGUUCCAAAAUUAUUCUGGGGGGAAGUUGUACUUUGGUGGCCUACUCAUCAUAGGAUUGCCGUAUAAGGUACAAACAUUCCCAAUGCUUUGUCAAAAGCGCUUAAAUCAUUUUUGAUACUCAUCGUUAUCUUCACCAUCCAAAUUUUUGGGUGGCUCAGUCUUUGUUCAUGUCCAUCAAUAGUAUACGAAGUAAAUUUGAAAUCAUAGUGUCACUCAAAUGCAUCUUUUCUUUGGUAUCUUCAAAUCAAAAAGGUACAAGUGUUACCUUCGUCACAAGAAAAAUCUCAACUAUAUCCCAAUUCUUUGGCAGUAUCGAAUGACAAUUUUUUUUUGCCAAUGUCAGUGGUCAGCGAGUGACAAGCGACGACCAUGACAUAUUAUUUUCUGCCUCCAUUUUUUGUAGGUUGGUGCUGAGGUUUCUGGUGCCCGUUGAAGCUCCAUUGAUGUAGUCUUCUUUCUCCUUUCCCCGUAUGAACAAGUAAGAUGACUAGACCAUUGUAAAUAAUUUUGUCCAUUCAGUUUAUGGGAGGAUCCCUGAAGAUAAGAGGUUUCCUCUAUAAAGGAUGAAGAUGAUGAGAUGUGCUAUCAGAAGAAGAGGAGGGUGAGUGGUAGCCAUUCGUAAGGUUGGAUCGUAUUUACGACAUGAAAUAGAAAAAGAGAAUCGAGUAGAAAAACUCGAACAUUGAUUGAAGAUGAAGAAAUUAUAUCAAUCUAGUAGAGUGCUAUUUUGUACAUCCACCUGGGUGAAUAUUACCCCAUUUAGAAUAGUAGACCCCGCAAUUUAGCCAAUCACAGAUAGGAUAUUGAUGUGGGUGAACAAAAUAGUACUCACAUAAUUAAACUGAAACAUUAGAAGAAGAGGAAGAAUGAGAAGCUAAAAAACCUUUAGCUUGGUGGACAUUAAUUUUUCAAAAAUUUCUCGGGUGGAAAAACUAUAUAAUUUGAAAAUAUUAGUAGCUUAUACUAUUAUUAUAAUGGGUUUUUACCUUGGGGUGGCGUUGGCGCCCUUCUAUCUCUAUCUCUCUCCCCUCAAUUCCUAAUUGUAGCCUUGUUGGUUUUAUUUUUCCCGUGACGCUUCAAUGGGUUUCGGUCCUGAUUCCAUUGUUGGUUGGGUUUUUUGAUGUUACUUUUUCUGGUUCUUCGAUUGGUGAUUACUGAUAUUUAUUUUUCCUUUUAUCUUAACCGUGAUGAUUUAUUUAUAUUGAAGAAGACAGUUUAAUGCUAGAGAGAUGCAGCAUAUCUCAAUGAAGCCUGUGAGUUGACACGAUCUAGAAUCUUAAGCAAUGAGGACGAGAAAGAGCUUGAUAGUGUUGAGCACAUUAUACGUCGGUCUUUGAUAGAAUACAACGAGCUGGUUAAGGAGAAGCAUCCGAUCUUCAAGCCUUGGUGGGAUCGUGUUAGCCGGGAACUUAAUGGUGCAGAAACUAAAUUGCUUUCUUUCAUGGAUUCAUGGAUGCCAAUUUCCGCGAUGCCACACGUAACUCCUGAAUUAGUCCAUGAGUGUCAGGCUGUUUGUGGUCUGCUUCACCUGGCCAUGGAAGCUAAGAACUUGUCUGGAAUUCCUAAGCUGCUCAGUGAGUUCAUUGACCUCCUCCACAAACUUGUGGGGGCCGAUUCCGAUUAAGUUUCAAAGACAAUUAGUGAAACUGUUGACAGCAUCAAGUAAGGAGGUAAAUUUACCAUAGUCCCCGUAGGCUGUCAAUAGAUGUUUGUGCUUGUUUCAAUUUUUUUUCUUGGGUUCCUUUGUUUUUGUUUGAUUUCCACUACUUGAAGUUCUAAUUUCAAUUCGUUGCAUUGGUAUAUAGGUUGCGAGGCCACCUUUCUGGCUUCCAAUUCCGUGGCUUCCUACUUUUUUCUGGGGAGUAUGCUGGGACCCAUCCUUGUACUGCUGCGUGAGAUGGUUUUGGGUCAGAUCACGUGACUAGUGCUAUGAUGAAACCAUGUUUUUCCGUCCUCGCUUGAAUACUUAUAAGCCAGGCGUGUUCCCAGAGGGUUUUCUCUUCUUGGGCGCCUACGUGGAUUGGUAAGGCGAACUUGCCAAAGCCAUCGCCGUGCAUCUAUAUGAUAAUGUUGGAACCGGCUAAUACGGGUGGACCUGUCAGAAUUCACAGAAUCUGCCUUGGGGAGACUUGUCGACCGCUGUGAGUUCUAUGCCGUACAGUGUUAUCUCUUUCGGCAAAAUUGAGAAGCCCCCUCCCUCGAUUUUGGACAUCCUCUUCAUAUUCUAAAUCAAGGUAGACUAAUUUGAUGGGCAAGGACGUAGCAUCGACUUCACUAAUACCAUGGUAUAUGACUUCAAAUGUGGGAGCAGAACAGCUCAAUUUGUUUUUGCAAAUGCUGCUUGCAUGAUUCGCGGAGUUUUUUUGGAAACAUGAUUGUUAACCUGAAGGGUAGCGGCCCUG
rnacentral:lncRNA from 1 species